GUGAAAGGCCAAUCAAACUCGGAGAUAGCUGGUUCUCCGCGAAAUCUAUUUAGGUAGAGCGUCAUCCGAAUACCCCGGGGGGUAGAGCACUGGAUGGGUAAUGGGGCCCCACAGGCUUACUGAUCCUAACCAAACUCCGAAUACCGAGGAGUACUAGAUGGCAGACAGACUGCGGAUGCUAACGUCCGUAGUCGAGAGGGAAACAACCCUGACCUACAGCUAAGGCCCCCAAUUCAUGGCUAAGUGGGAAAGCAGGUGAGACGACCAAAACAACCAG
rnacentral:rRNA from 1 species